GCCUCCUUAGCUCAGCUGGUAGAGCAACUGACUUGUAAUCAGUAGGUCGUUGGUUCGAUUCCGACAGGGGGCUC
rnacentral:tRNA from 2 species